GUCUACAGCCAUGCCGCCCUGAACGUGCCCGAUCUUGUCUGAUCUUGGAAGCUAAGCAGGGUUGGGCCUGGUUAGUACUUGGAUGGGAGACCACCUAGGAAUACCAGGUACUACAGGCG
rnacentral:rRNA from 1 species